rnacentral:rRNA from 1 species
GACGAACGCUGGCGGCGUGCUUAACACAUGCAAGUCGAACGCUGAAGCUCAGCUUUUGUUGGGUGGAUGAGUGGCGAACGGGUGAGUAACACGUGAGUAACCUGCCCCCUUCUUUGGGAUAACGCCCGGAAACGGGUGCUAAUACUGGAUAUUCACUGGUCUUCGCAUGGGGGUUGGUGGAAAGGGUUUUUCUGGUGGGGGAUGGGCUCGCGGCCUAUCAGCUUGUUGGUGGGGUGAUGGCCUACCAAGGCUUUGACGGGUGGCCGGCCUGAGAGGGUGACCGGUCACAUUGGGACUGAGAUACGGCCCAGACUCCUACGGGAGGCAGCAGUGGGGAAUAUUGCACAAUGGGCGCAAGCCUGAUGCAGCGACGCCGCGUGAGGGGUGGAGGCCUUCGGGUUGUGAACCUCUUUCGCUCAUGGUCAAGCCGCAACAAUGGUUGUGGUGAGGGUAGUGGGUAAAGAAGCGCCGGCUAACUACGUG